UCCAAUGUGGUGUAGUGGCUAACAUUGCUGUCUUUCAUUGCUAGAUCACUUAAAUUUACACAGCAGCCCGGGGUUCGAUUCCCCGCAUUGGAA